rnacentral:rRNA from 1 species
ACCUAUGGCCGUGCCACCCUGAACACGCCCGAUCUCGUCUAAUCUCAGAAGCUAAGCAGGGUGGGGCCUGGUUAGUACUUGGAUGGGAUUCCACCUAGGAAUACUGGGUGCUGUAGGCU